GCUGUCCCCAGAGUCCCAGAGCGGCCGGCCGGGAAGUGGGUCUGCACGGACGCAAACGAUGACACGCGGGCUUUUGUCGGAAGCAGUGGGGAUCUGGCGUCACCGCCCGGUGGAAAACAAAGUGCUUCUGCCUGGUUGGCCGGAGUUACGUUUGCUCACUGAAGAUGCCGGGCAGAAGCUCGUCUCUAUGUUUGAGGACAUUCCCCAAGGGUGUGGACAAUUCUCCAUGGUGAGGAACAGAGCGUUCCAGCCAGCAACCAUGUGAGUAAGCUUGGAAGUAGGUUCUCCAGCUCCAAAGAAGCCUUGUGCUGAGUAUAUGCUGUCAUCGGCUGCAUUAUAACCUGUGAAGGAUCCCAAC
rnacentral:lncRNA from 1 species